rnacentral:lncRNA from 1 species
GAAGAGGAUAGAGUUGCCAUCACACUACUUAGUAAAUAUAAUAAUAAUAAGAAGAAAAUACAAGUUGAUUAGGGAAGUUAAAAAUAUGGAUUGGGCAUUACAUUUUGGAAUGUGAUUUUCAAAUAUUUGAAAAUGUCGCUUUCGUGCUGAGAGUAAAAUUUCCCUCUUUGAAGUUCAUUGUUGCAUUCAGAUUAGUUUCUGUGUUGUUAAGAGUUAGUGGUUACUUGACUGAUAGAUACCUUUAGAAUUUAGAUAAUGCUCAAUGUAAGGUUUGUUGGCUUUAUGUAUAAGCUUGGGUAUAGUAAUCUGAGAUGAGUGUGGAAAAAUUAAACUUGUUUCUAGGAAUUGAUGAGUUUUACAAAUUUUCUAUGAGCCUGAUAAAUUUAUCUAAGUCACAUUUUAAACAAGUUCUUUGUUGCUUAAAGAAAGCGUACAUGUUAUUCUUGGUUUGCCUUUUACUGUGAUGGCUGUAUCCGUCUGUAAUUCCAUAGGCUUUGACCAAGUUGGUCUGGUUAAACUACUUAUGUAAGCCAAUGGUGAACCUUUUUUUGGUUUAAGAGAGAGUUGUGGAGGUUUCUCAAUGAGGUUAGGUAUUAUAUUUCUAGGAGAAAACUCGUGUUUUUAAUUUUAAGCAAAGAUUUUGCAUGAUGUUACUUAUAUACUGACUAGUAUGAGUAAUGAUACAACCAUAAACUCUUGUACAAACUUAUUUUGUACAAACUGACGUGACAUUAAUUCAUUGGUUGAAUGAAAAUAUAAAUUAAUAAAAACAAAUUAUGUGGGCCAAGUGAUAUUUAAUUCAACCAAUCUUAUCAUGCCACGUCAGUUUGUACAAAAUAAGUUUGUACAAGAGUUUGUGGCUGUAUCAUUACUCGACUAGUAUUGCAUCUGCAUUAGAUCUUAAAUGAUUGGUGAUACGACUUUAUCCAUGUUUAUCCAUGGUGUGUUUAGGUACAUCACAG